GCAAUGGAUGGAUGACUCACCUCUCAUAGGAAUGAUAGAACUUGGAUCAUCUUGUCAAUCACAGAGCUUGGUGGCCUUCUACAAAUGUUUGUGGAAUGAAUAAGUGAGAGAAUGAGAGAUUAAUAAAGCCAAUACUAUCACCAGUCCAACGAAGAGCUGCAACUGAAAAAAAAGUCUGACAAAAAAUGGCUAGUUCAAGUAGCAGUUUAUCCCAGACACGCAUCCGUGGAUAGGAGGGAGCUACACGCUUUCCUGAUA